rnacentral:rRNA from 1 species
GAUGGACGCUGGCGGCGUGCCUAAUACAUGCGAGUCGAGCGAACAGACGAGGAGCUUGCUCCUCUGACGUUAGCGGCGGACGGGUGAGUAACACGUGGAUAACCUACCUAUAAGACUGGGAUAACUUCGGGAAACCGGAGCUAAUACCGGAUAAUAUAUUGAACCGCAUGGUUCAAUAGUGAAAGACGGUUUUGCUUUCACUUAUAGAUGGAUCCGCGCCGCAUUAGCUAGUUGGUAAGGUAACGGCUUACCAAGGCAACGAUGCGUAGCCGACCUGAGAGGGUGAUCGGCCACACUGGAACUGAGACACGGUCCAGACUCCUACGGGAGGCAGCAGUAGGGAAUCUUCCGCAAUGGGCGAAAGCCUGACGGAGCAACGCCGCGUGAGUGAUGAAGGUCUUCGGAUCGUAAAACUCUGUUAUUAGGGAAGAACAAAUGUGUAAGUAACUAUGCACGUCUUGACGGUACCUAAUCAGAAAGCCACGGCUAACUACGUG